rnacentral:rRNA from 1 species
UCGAGAAUCUUUCACAAUGGGCGAAAGCCUGAUGGAGCGACGCCGCGUGGAGGUUAAGGUCUUCGGAUUGUAAACUCCUGUCAUGCGAGAACAAAGCCCGCAAGGGUCUGAUAGUAUCGCAAGAGGAAGAGACGGCUAACUCUGUGCCAGCAGCCGCGGUAAUACAGAGGUCUCAAGCGUUGUUCGGAAUUACUGGGCGUAAAGGGUGCGCAGGCCGCGCGGGCAGUCAAAUGUGUAAUCCAGGGGCUCA